rnacentral:rRNA from 1 species
UGUGUAGGCGGUUCUCCAAGUUUGGUGUGAAAUCUCCCGGCUCAACCGGGAGGGUGCGCCGAAAAACUGGAGGGCUAGAGUGCGGGAGGGGAGAGUGGAAUUCCUGGUGUAGCGGUGAAAUGCGUAGAUAUCAGGAGGAACACCGGUGGUGUAGACGGCUCUCUGGACCGUAACUGACGCUGAGACACGAAAGCGUGGGUAGCAAACAGGAUUAGAUACCCUGGUAGUCCACGCCCUAAACGAUGCAUAUUUGGUGUGGGUCAUUCAGUUGAUCCGUGCCGGAGCUAACGCGUUAAAUAUGCCGCCUGGGGAGUACAGUCGCAAGGCUGAA